rnacentral:misc_RNA from 1 species
AAAAAUCGCAAGGCAUCAUCAGGUAAUCUUGUUAUUUGGAAUUGAUGUUACUUUUGUUUGUAGAAAAGCAAUUUACACUUCUAUUUGAAGAUAAUUUGAACUUAAAAUGAUGGGAGAACAGGUUUCCCAACUUGAUGGUUCAUACUGAACUGUCUGUGGUUGUGCAAUAACCAUUGCAGGAGGUUUUUGAUUAGUGGUGGAGUUAGGAGAAGUUUAUGCUUGGUGUUCCCAAAUUUUUUUAAAAGGUUGACAUUUAUCUCUGGUUCUUACACAAAUUUUAAAUUUGUUUUGCCUUUUCAGGAUCCAUGUUAGAUGGAUCUGGGAGGCUGAGGGAAGUUGCCUGUCCUACCUGCACUGUUCAUUUGCAGGUUUGAUAUUUUUCUGUGCCACGCUGUAGGACUUAAAUUUCCGGAUAUUUCGUUUAUUCAUGAUGGUUGCGAAUAAUGCAGGUCCAAGUGCCCAGCUCGGGUUCCAAAACUGUC